rnacentral:rRNA from 1 species
AUACAGAGGGUGCGAGCGUUAAUCGGAAUUACUGGGCGUAAAGCGCGCGUAGGCGGCUUAUUAAGUCAGAUGUGAAAUCCCCGGGCUCAACCUGGGAACUGCAUCUGAUACUGGUAAGCUAGAGGUUUGGAGAGGGAAGUAGAAUUUCAGGUGUAGCGGUGAAAUGCAUAGAGAUCUGAAGGAAUACCAGUGGCGCAGGCGACUUCCUGGCCAAAACCUGACGCUGAGGUGCGAAAGCGUGGGUAGCAAACGGCAUUAGAAACCCUAGUAGUCC